GACCCUACGGGGCGCAGCAGUGGGGAAUAUUGGGCAAUGGGCGCAAGCCUGACCCAGCAACGCCGCGUGAAGGAAGAAGGCUCUCGGGUUGUAAACUUCUUUUAUUCGGGACGAAACAAAUGACGGUACCGAAUGAAUAAGCCACGGCUAACUACGUGCCAGCAGCCGCGGUAAUACGGAGGAUGCGAGCGUUAUCCGGAUUUAUUGGGUUUAAAGGGUGCGUAGGCGGUCCGUUAAGUCAGCGGUAAAAUUGCGGGGCUCAACCCCGUCGAGCCGUUGAAACUGGCAGACUUGAGUUGGCGAGA
rnacentral:rRNA from 1 species